AUUGAACGCUGGCGGCAGGCUUAACACAUGCAAGUCGAGCGAGCGGCGGACGGGUGAGUAAUGUCUGGGAAACUGCCUGAUGGAGGGGGAUAACUACUGGAAACGGUAGCUAAUACCGCAUACCAUCAGAUGUGCCCAGAUGGGAUUAGCUAGUAGGUGGGGUAAUGGCUCACCUAGGCGACGAUCCCUAGCUGGUCUGAGAGGAUGACGGGCAACCCUGGAAGUGAGAAAGGGUCCGAACUCCUACGGGAGGCAGCAGUGGGAAAUAUUGCACAAUGGGCGCAAGCCUGAUGCAGACAUGCCGCGUGUGUGAAGAAGGCCUUCGGGUUGUAAAGCACUUUCAGCGAGGAGGCGUUACUCACAGAGGAAGCACCGGCUAACUCCGUGCCAGCAGCCGCGGUAAUAC
rnacentral:rRNA from 1 species